rnacentral:lncRNA from 1 species
CAAAAUCCCAUAAUAUUCUUAUACCAAUAUUAAUAUUUAUAGUAGUAUUAAUACGAUUGCAUUACAAAAUAUAAUAAUAUAAUAUUAUAUAAUAUUAUAUUAUAGUAUAAUAAUAUUAAUGAUUUUUUUUUUGGUGUACAAUAUUAAUGUUAUUUAGUAUUGAUCUUAUAGUUGGUAUAAUGCUCUAGGAUCAUGCUCCAGCAAAACACCGCUAAAGGCCUCUGUCGUCAGAAUUCUCAGCCCGCGGGGCAAACGUGGCUCCUCGCCUGUUGCUUCUCGCUACCUUUCCUGCUG